rnacentral:rRNA from 1 species
ACGGGAGGCAGCAGUGAGGAAUAUUGGUCAAUGGGCGAGAGCCUGAACCAGCCAAGUCGCGUGAAGGAUGAAGGUUCUAUGGAUUGUAAACUUCUUUUGUUCGAGGGUAAAGUGACUUACGUGUAGGUUAUUGCAAGUAUCGAACGAAUAGCAUCGGCUAACUCCGUGCCAGCAGCCGCGGUAAUACGGAGGAUGCGAGCGUUAUCCGGAUUUAUUGGGUUUAAAGGGUGUGUAGGCGGGAUGUUAAGUCAGCGGUAAAAUAGUGUAGCUCAACUAUACUUCGCCGUUGAAACUGGCGUUCUUGAGUGUAAACGAGGUAGGCGGAAUGUGACGUGUAGCGGUGAAAUGCCUAGAUAUGUCACAGAACCCCGAUUGCGAAGGCAGCUUACCAGGAUACAACUGACGCUGAGGCACGAAAGCGUGGGUAUCAAACAGGAUUAGAUACCCUGGUA